rnacentral:rRNA from 1 species
GACGAACGCUGGCGGCGUGCUUAACACAUGCAAGUCGAACGAUGAAGAAGAGAAACGCGAACUUCGGUUCAAAUUUCACUUCGGAUUAGUGGCAGACGGGUGAGUAACGCGUGAGCAACCUACCUCUUACAAAGGGAUAGCCUCGGGAAACCGUGAUUAAUACCAUAUGACACAUUCAUAAGGCAUCUUAAGAAUGUUAAAGCUACGGCGGUAAGAGAUGGGCUCGCGUCCCAUUAGCUAGUUGGUGAGGUAACGGCCCACCAAGGCGACGAUGGGUAACCGGCCUGAGAGGGUGAACGGUCACAUUGGAACUGAGACGCGGUCCAAACUCCUACGGGAGGCAGCAGUGGGGAAUAUUGCACAAUGGAGGGAACUCUGAUGCAGCGACGCCGCGUGAGCGAUGAAGGAAUUCGUUUCGUAAAGCUCUGUUCUAUGGGAAGAAAAGGACUGUACCAUAGGAGAAAGCCCCGGCUAAAUACGUG